rnacentral:rRNA from 1 species
UACGUAGGGCGCAAGCGUUAUCCGGAAUUAUUGGGCGUAAAGAGCUCGUAGGCGGCUCGUCGCGUCGACCGUGAAAACCCGCGGCUUAACUGCGGGCUUGCGGUUGAUACGGGCGGGCUAGAGUUCGGUAGGGGAGACUGGAAUUCCUGGUGUAGCGGUGAAAUGCGCAGAUAUCAGGAGGAACACCGGUGGCGAAGGCGGGUCUCUGGGCCGAUACUGACGCUGAGGAGCGAAAGUGUGGGGAGCGAACAGG